rnacentral:rRNA from 1 species
GAUGAACGCUAGCUACAGGCUUAACACAUGCAAGUCGAGGGGAAACGACAACGAAAGCUUGCUUUUGAUGGGCGUCGACCGGCGCACGGGUGAGUAACGCGUAUCCAACCUGCCCAUCACUUGGGAAUAACCUUGCGAAAGUAAGACUAAUACCCAAUGAUAUCCCACGAAGGCAUCGGAAUGGGAUUAAAGAUUUAUCGGUGAUGGAUGGGGAUGCGUCUGAUUAGCUUGUUGGCGGGGUAACGGCCCACCAAGGCAACGAUCAGUAGGGGUUCUGAGAGGAAGGUCCCCCACAUUGGAACUGAGACACGGUCCAAACUCCUACGGGAGGCAGCAGUGAGGAAUAUUGGUCAAUGGGCGAGAGCCUGAACCAGCCAAGUAGCGUGCAGGAAGACGGCCCUAUGGGUUGUAAACUGCUUUUAUAAGGGAAUAAAGUGGGUCACGUGUGACUUUUUGCAUGUACCUUAUGAAUAAGGACCGGCUAAUUCCGUG